rnacentral:lncRNA from 1 species
UUUUGGUGGUGUUUUAAUGGUAUUAGAGGGUGAUUGAUUGUGUUGGAAUGCCAUUUUUUGGCGAAAUUUUGAUUGAGAAAAUCAAAAUCGCCUGGAUCUCUUUUUUGUUUUUGUUGUUGUAUAUCACUGUGUGUAUUAUUAUUCUUUUUCUUUCUUUAAUGAUUGUUUGGUGUUAUUUUGGUGGGAAAAUGGAGGAAUGAAAGGUAAGCUUUAGUGGUGGAAAUAGAUAAAAGACUAGAAUUUAAGUUUUAAUUUUGGAUGUUCAAAAUCAAUAAAGAAUUAGAUCAAAUUAAAUGAAUAUAAUAAUAAAUUUAAAGUGGAACAACAUAUGAUGAGG